rnacentral:rRNA from 1 species
AUACGUAGGGGGCGAGCGUUGUCCGGAAUGAUUGGGCGUAAAGGGCGCGUAGGCGGCGCGGUAAGUCUGGAGUGAAAGUCCUGCUUUCAAGGUGGGAAUUGCUUUGGAUACUGCCGCGCUUGAGUGCAGGAGAGGUUAUCGGAAUUCCCGGUGUAGCGGUGAAAUGCGUAGAGAUCGGGAGGAACACCAGUGGCGAAGGCGGGUAACUGGACUGCAACGGACGCUGAGGCGCGAAAGUGGGGGGAGCAAACAGGAUUAGAUACCCUGGUAGUCCACGCUGUAAACGAUGAAUACUAGGUGUAGGGGGUAUCGACUCCCUCUGUGCCGCAGUUAACACAAUAAGUAUUCCGCCUGGGGAGUACGGCCGCAAGGUUGAAACUCAAAUGAAUUGACGGGG